rnacentral:tRNA from 1 species
GCCCCUAUAGCUCAGCUGGUAGAGCAACUGAUUUGUAAUCAGUAGGUCGGCGGUUCGAAUCCGUCUGGGGGCA